UUGAAUAUUUGCCUAGUGGCGGAUGGGUGAGUAACGCGUGGGCAACCUACCCUGUACAGGGGGAUAACAAUGGGAAACCAUUGCUAAUACCCCAUAAUACCUUUUAAGGGCAUCCUUGAAAGGUCAAAGAAUUUCGGUAUAGGAUGGGCCCGCGUCUGAUUAGCUAGUUGGUGGGGUAAUGGCCUACCAAAGCAACGAUCAGUAGCCGGCCUGAGAGGGUGAACGGCCACACUGGAACUGAGACACGGUCCAGACUCCUACGGGAGGCAGCAGUGGGGAAUAUUGCACAAUGGGGGAAACCCUGAUGCAGCAACGCCGCGUGAGCGAUGAAGGCUUUCGAGUCGUAAAGCUCUGUCCUAAGGGAAGAUAAUGACGGUACCUUAGGAGGAAGCCCCGGCUAACUACGUGCCAGCAGCCGCGGUAAUACGUAGGGGGCAAGCGUUGUCCGGAAUUAUUGGGCGUAAAGGGUGCGUAGGCGGCCUUAUGGGUCAGAGGUUAAAUACUACGGCUUAACCGUAGUAUGCCUUUGAAACUAUAGGGCUUGAGUGCAGGAGAGGAGAGUGGAAUUCCUAGUGUAGCGGUGAAAUGCGUAGAUAUUAGGAGGAAUACCAGUGGCGAAGGCGACUCUCUGGACUGCAACUGACGCUAAGGCACGAAAGCGUGGGUAGCGAACAGGAUUAGAUACCCUGGUAGUCCACGCUGUAAACGAUGAGAGUUAGGUGUUGGGGGUCACACCUUGGUGACGCAGUUAAUGCAGUAAGCCACUCCGUCUUGGGAGUACGUUGGCAAGAAUAAAACUCAAAGGAAUGGUCGGGGAUCCGCCCAAGCAGUGGUGCAUGUGGUUUAAUUCGAAGCAACUCGAAGAACAAUACAUGGAUCUGACAUCCCUGCGGUCGUCUUUUAAUCGAGAUGUUCCCAUCGGGGACAGAGGAGACAGGCGGUGCAUGGUUGUGGUCAGUUCGGGUGGAGUGAUGGCGGGGUAAGUCUCGCAACGAGCGCAACCCUCGUCUUUAGUUCCCAUCACGUAAAGUUGGGCACUAUAAAGAGACUCCCAAUGUAAACAGGGAGGAAGGAGGGGAUGAUGUCACAUCAUCAUGCCCAUUCAGUACAGGGGCACACACGUGAUACAAUGGGAGAUACAACGGGCAGCUAAGGAGCAAUCCGGAGCAAAUCGCACAAAAUUGGUCCCAGUUGCGACUGUGGGCCGAAAUUCGUCCACAAGAAGUGGGAGUUGUUAGUAAUCGCGAAUCAGCAUGUAGCGGUGAAUGCGUUCCCGUCUUUAGCACAAAACGCCCUUCA
rnacentral:rRNA from 1 species